rnacentral:rRNA from 1 species
AUUGAACGCUGGCGGCAUGCCUUACACAUGCAAGUCGAACGGCAGCGCGGACUUCGGUCUGGCGGCGAGUGGCGAACGGGUGAGUAAUACAUCGGAACGUACCCUGUUGUGGGGGAUAACUAGUCGAAAGAUUAGCUAAUACCGCAUACGACCUGAGGGUGAAGGUGGGGGACCGCAAGGCCUCACGCAGCAGGAGCGGCCGAUGUCUGAUUAGCUAGUUGGUGGGGUAAAGGCCCACCAAGGCGACGAUCAGUAGCUGGUCUGAGAGGACGAUCAGCCGCACUGGGACUGAGACACGGCCCAGACUCCUACGGGAGGCAGCAGUGGGGAAUUUUGGACAAUGGGGGCAACCCUGAUCCAGCAAUGCCGCGUGUGUGAAGAAGGCCUUCGGGUUGUAAAGCACUUUUGUCCGGAAAGAAAUCGCGCUGGUUAAUACCUGGCGUGGAUGACGGUACCGGAAGAAUAAGCACCGGCUAACUACGUG